rnacentral:tRNA from 1 species
GAAGGUAUAGCUCAGUAGAAUACAUGCCUGGCACGCACAAGGUCCUGGGUUCAAUCCCCAGCACCUCCA